CACCUGAUCCCAUCCCGAACUCAGAAGUGAAACGACGCAUCGCCGAUGGUAGUGUGGGGUCUCCCCAUGUGAGAGUAGGUCAUCGUCAAGC
rnacentral:rRNA from 1 species